CAGAAGGCUGCCAGCUGCCUCUGGCCUGAGGGUGAGGCAGCUAGCUGCUGAUGGCAUGGCUUCACUCACCUGGGAGAUUGCCACAUGCACAGGGAGCCAGAGGCAAAACAAGGUGCAGCUGACAGGGGGCGGGAGAAACUCUGAUUGCAAGUUAGCAAAAAAUCUCCCGGCAGGUUUGGGCAUGUGGUGUUUCCUCUUUGAGGGCUGCUGCUUUACCAGAGCAGAGUGCUCUGUCUGCAGAAGUAUUUCAAAGCUAAAUGUUAAUGAGCAGAAGGCUCUGGUCUCUCAGCGAGGAAGUGCUGAUGUGGGAAUGGUAGUAAAGGCUCUGCAAGGCACUGCUGUAACUAUGCACGUGGCAGAGAGAAGUCAGUACCACAGGGCUAGCAGGAGAGAUGCGUUUAUCUGAACAAAACGAGCAGAUGGAUGUGCAGGAAACAGUUAUGCUGGAAGAGUUGGCCAUUUGGAGAGCCAGCGUUGGAAGUGGCUGCUGCAAAUGAACCUGGAGGGAGAACCUCACUUACAAAUAUUUAGAGCUCAUAAUAGGCCCCCAGUGAGUCCUUCUGAGGAACAGAGCUAACUCAAAGACCAGACCAAGAGAGGCUUAUCCAGCUGCUUCUGCUUUCUUCAAAGAGAAUGGGCUUGAUCCCACACAGCACCAUCUCUAAUGGUUCUCUGGC